rnacentral:ncRNA from 1 species
GAUAACAGGCUGAUGACUCCCAAGAGCUCUUAUCGACGGAGUCAUUUGGCACCUCGAUGUCGACUCAUCACAUCCUGGGGUUGAAGAAGGUCCCAAGGGUUCGGUUGUUCGCCGAUGAAAGUGGUACAUGAGUUGGGUUUAGAACGUUG